UUGUUAUACAGUAACAUGAUUCAUGUGGUGAAACAUGAUGUGUUCGAUGGUGUUUACGAGGCAAAAUAAGUAUUUUUGUCAUCUUUUUCCCAUAAUCUCUUUCAAUGUCAACCUCAGGAUAACCUUUUGGUUUAAAACGUGGUGUAAAUCGUAAGCUUACACAGCUAUUAAAACAUUGUAAUACCAUCUGAUAUAUAUCUUCUGGUUGAUGGCUGGACACGUAAAUUUUCAAGCUGUUUGAGGCCGGCUAAGUUCUUAAUCCUAUUGAAGGUGUUCUACAUGGGAUUUAAUAAGUUUUCUUGGUCUCAAAGACAAUAAACAUUGCCACAACCAUUUGGUUUUUGACAGCAAAAUAAAGACAAUAUCUUCAAUAAAAAACCACGACAAGAUGUAAAAUGGAAAAGCAUAAUUUUUUAACUGGAAACCAAAAAAUUAUCAACUUUGUCUAUCACCAUCCCAGUAAACCUGAUUGUCACUGAUAAAGCAUUGACAUGUACAACAUAACACUAAUCAAGCAAACGGUAGGCUGUAAAAAACUGAUGGACUCUUCUUUCUGGAUUAACAUAAAGAUCACAAUUGUUAUUUUACAUUUUUUUUCAACAACCACUAAUACUUAGGACAAUUUAAAAGAGAGGGAGAUAUAAAUUUAUACCAUCUAGUAUCUAGCCGAGAAGCCUACUGUGUUAACUGCUUAAGUGUAUUCAACUUGGUACUGUCUAACUUGAUCCAGCUCGCCCUCACAUCUUCCUGUUGAUCAUUCAUUAUGUGCAUCCAUAUUAUUGUAGCCGUUAAAAAUGAUCCUUCAACUAUAAACGUAAAAGGCAACACGAGCCAAAUGUCAGUUGAGAAAAUACAUUUAUUCAAAUGUCAAGUAAUUGCCAAAACUAUACAAACGUGGUAUCAUAAGUCUGUAUGUUUCCAUUGUUUGAACCAUUUGAUAAGGAGCCACGAGUAGAGGGUCAAGUCAGCUUUAUAGCUUUGGAUACUGUUGAUCAUCUUGCUCUUAUUGAUGCUCAAUAUCAAAGGCAGGUGAUUUUUGUUUUCAUCUUUCCCUCACUUUCAUUACAAGGUUUUCAUCAUCAUCAUAAUCAAAGGAAAAUCAACUUCGAGGGAGAAAAAGUUGGACUCUUUCACCGUUUUCUAGUUUCUCUUCUCUCUCUUUAUCUCUCAUUUACCCAAUAUUGAAAUAGAGACCUGACCCUGUUUAACGGAUGCUUAUGAAGAUUGCGAGGGAGAAAGUCUCUUCUUACUCCGGGUGUUUUGAUUUCCUCUAAAGGCACGCUUAUACAUAUACGCAGGUUGUGUUGCUUUUAUUGUUGAUAAUCAACAAUUGACAAAAUUGUAAACGCGCGUGGCCUGGUUUGAUAAUCAUUAUCCUAGUGCAUCAAAAAUCGUGAAAACAUUUCACAAAAGAGUAACGUUUUUUUCAGCUUAAACUACUUUCACUCUUCUGCCUAGGUAACUUAUCCCAAGUAAAAUGAUGAUGAAAGGGAAUCGAUCUGUUUGCGCUCUCAUAGUUAUACUGUUCCCACCUCAAUAAUUCAAGGCUAAUUUUACUAUAAAUCUAUGCUGAUUGCUAUUACAUUUAUUUUUACAAUUUUUCCUUUCUUUUUUUCGGCAAACGUUGUAAUUUUAUCUCUUCUUUUUCUUCUUUCUAUUUCUAGAAAUACCAGUCACCGUUCAAUUUCAUGGAGAAAAGUUACCGGAAAAGCUGAUGCAGUUGAAAAGCAAAAAUAAUUAUUCAUCUCCAAGAGUACUGUCUUUUAUGGUGGUAAAUUCAUUAAGACUUUGUUUUUUGUAACCAAGCUAAAUGUAAAUAUGGCUCUAUGAUUCUGGAUUAGAUACACAUCUUGAUAAUGACGGAACUUCGUUUAAUCAAUCUUCAGAAGUGCGAAAUAAUCAUGAAGCUAUGUAACAAAUUGAUGAUUGAUUUCAUUUUUUUGGUGAAUGUUAAGAUGAGAAACUCGCUAGACUCACGAAAGUCAAUGUUGAAAAAAAGGAAACGAAACUUUUACAUCAAUAAGGAUUUCUUCAUCCGCCGUUUAACUGUGAAUAUAAAUAUUUGAUUGAGAUUUUACGUUUUUUGACAAACCAUGAAUGUUUGUAAACUUGAUCCUGAUCCCUUACUAUAUUGGCUGGAAAAUCGAUUCAUGUUCACACGAUAUUGACCUAGCUGAUCAAUAUUCAUUUAUUAUUAUUGGUCAACAAAAUGGUUUGCCAAGAAUCUUUCUAAUUUAACUGUACCUCAAUUGGGAAAUAUUAUACUCUGAUAAUGGUUAAAGUAACACCAAAUAUUAAAAGAUUUCCGAACAAUAAGGAGCAAGUUCAAGUGUCAUUCCAUUGGCAAAAACGUGGGACAAUAGCGAUGAUCAAAGAGGAAUUGGAAUAAAGCUCAGGAUUAUUAACAUUUAAUAUUACAUGCAAGCUAUUUAACUGGUUGGAUUCAUUUCAAAGGAUUAAUGAGAAAGGACGGAUAAGCAAAAAAGAAGUCCAAGGUGGAAUAAUUAUGAUUAUAAUGAUGACGGAAAGAAGAAGGCGAUGAGAAUGAUGACAAAGUCAAUGAUGAAAAUACAUCUCUGUUGAGAGUCUAUCCUGAUUCUUAUCUUGAUGAUGAGGGAGGACUAAAAAUAGUUGACAAAUACGCAAGUUAACUUGGUACGAAUCGAAUUAAGCUUGAGAAAGGAGACAAACGAUAAACUGGCCUCUAUGAUCAAUCAAAAUAUGUGAGAAGAUGAAGAGAUCCAAGAUUUCAUUCUAUCUUCAUCUCCAUUUCUUUCCCAUCUUCCUGACGUCCCUGAUUUUGGCUGCAUCUUUCCUCCUUUAAGAAUGUUCAUCACUCUUAAUGUUAAUAAUUUUUCUCACUAUAACUCAUUUUUGGCUUCCAACACUGGUCUUUAAAACUUGCCAAUUUAAAGAGUUUUGAGAAAAUGGGAAAAAUUUGAAUUUCUAAGAAUCCAAUUGAAAUUAAGAUUCUUAACUGUUGAUUCAAUCUUGGUCAGCUUUCGCCUUAAAUUUCACUUCUGUAAAGUGCCUGUCAAUUGAUGGUUAAUGGUUUCAAGAACAAUCGUUUCAUUUCAACUAUAAGAUGAUUUUUCCGAGUCUCUUUCUCGUUAAUUGGAUAACUAUCAAGUGAUGAUUUUUCCAUGCGAUCCCAUGUAUACUUUGAAUAUAAGGAAAACUGAAUUGGUGAACAGUUUCCUUUUAACUGUUUCUUUCGUGUUAUUGGAUUAGUGGUUGAUUAACAUUUCCACAAGCAUUCACAAUUGACUUAUUGUCUUGAUUGGUUAUUUGUUGACAUGAAGAUACUUGAAGAUGCUAUUAAUUGUCUUUCAAAUUGAUAGUUUAAGACUAGUUAAUCACGCAAAUCAUGGAUCUUAACAUCAGUGGAUUGUCAUUAUUUAUUAACAUUGGUAAAUCAACUCUACAAGUAACUGUCUUCCUUCAACCCAAAUUUGAUAAUGAAAUGAAAUGAGUGAAACCAUUGAAUUAUAAAAUCUAGUGUUUAACAAUCACUUUAUUGUAAACAAUAAAACCUGAUUGAAUACCUUGAAAAUUUAAAUAAAUUUCAACUCAGGUUAAUUAUUCAAA